rnacentral:lncRNA from 1 species
AUUUUAAAAGACUUUGUGAGAUUGUAUUGAUUUUAUGAGAUUUUAGAAGACUUUUUUGAAUGACUUUUUCAAUCAAGAUUCUUAACACAAGAAUUUGUGAGACUUUAUGACACAGACUUUUGAGAUUUUGAAGUAUUUUAUAUACUUUUAAGAUUUAAAUGAGUCAAUAAAUUCGAUAUAAAUUCCUUCUAAAAUAAUAAUGAAUCAAUCAAUGAAAAUUAAUCAUUCCUUAAAAAAAUCAACAAUCAUUAAUAUAAUAAAAAAAUCAAUGAAUAAAAUUCUACAAAAAAAAAUCAACGAAUAAACAAAAAAACAAUUUAUCACUGCACAGCUUCAAGUCUUGUCCAAUGCAUAUAUCACCGCUCAUAAGUAUAGCUCAUUGUAAACUAGCUAGCUUGAACCAAAUUGAUAGAAAUGGUAAAAAAAAAUGACGAACAAAGUUUGUUGUUGUUGUUGAAACAUGUUGUUGUUGUAUAUAUUUUCAAUUUUUAUAUCCUAUAUAAUGAAUCGUGACACUAUCUAUGGUAGCAGGACAACCAUGAAGAGGAAACGUGAUAGAGAGAUAGGGAGAAAAUAUAAGCGAUUAUAAAAAACAUGAGAUAAUCAGGAAACAUAGAAACAUGAGGAAAGGUGAAAGAAAUAAAAAAAAAACGAGAAUCCAUCAAAAUCUCAUGAUAUGAG